rnacentral:tRNA from 1 species
GCUGGGAUCGCCUAGUCCGGUAGGGCGGCAGGUUGCUAACCUGUUGCGCGCAAGCGUCCGAGAGUUCAAAUCUCUCUCCUAGCG